AGUCUUAUUUCACUUUUACUUUUUGAUGAACUUUACAGUAUAGAAAGUUAAGGGAUUGUUUUUAGUGAAAUAGGUUUCUUUUGGGCACAUGUGUUAAUAUUGAUUUAAUAGCCUGUACUAGCAUGCCACAUUUCUUGGCAUGUUAUCUAGGUGUCCAUUAUCUCUAAUGUAGAUUCAUCUAAGGAUCAGGAACUUGAAUUACAGAAACAAGAGGGAUAAAUGUUUUAUUGAGGUGAUCUGACCAAGAGUUUCCUGGUACCUGCAGAAGUGGAAAAUGAUAGGCUGUGUGAUAUAAUUUUAAAGGUAGAUUUAUUUGACACCAAAAGCAGAGAAGAAGAACCAGCUUCUUCAGCUCCUAUAAAGGCAGUGAAACCAAGUGAUAAUCUCUAGAGACAAUACUUAAAUGAGGUAAUAGGGACUUAAUAAUUGUAAGGGUUCAUCACCCCUUUGAAACCUUCUCCAUUUUUGAGUUUCUUGGUUCAAGAUCCCAAUGUAUAUUAGUCAAUUUGUGGCAAGACUCAUCUUUCUAUAUAUACCAUGACUUCCUGUAGCCAGAAUGAAAGUUUAAUUUUAAUUUUCCAUUAAAAAUAUCAGGAAAAAUAUACUCAGAACCCAUGAAGAGAAAACUACAAUUUGAUGUCAUUUCUGCUCUCCUAAGUAUGAUUUUUUAGACCAGGAACCUUUCUUGUCCAUCACAAAAUGAGUUGGGUAGAUGUCCCCCUGAACCGUAAGAUGGGGAAAGAUCCUUUUUUUAAAUUCUUUCCUCAAAUAUGAAGGAAAGAGGGAAAGAUGUUGACAGAGACACUUGACAGAUUGACAAGCAGCCAAGCCCAUUUUAUGUUUCCUAUCUGAGAUAACACUGUAUUUCAAUGUGAUUUCUUUUCAGAAACAAAGUCAGACAUGGAAGUCUCUGGCAACAGAGAGGUUGGAAGAGGAGAUAUUUAAAGUGUCUCAGUAAAGACUCUGGAAGAUACAGGGGAAAUUUUCCUCCCUGUUGUAGACUCUGGGUCUGGAGUUCUCUCUUGUCCAGCCAGACAGUGGGAUGCAGAAUUAAAAUGCGAGAGAGGCAAGUGUCUGGAAAGAGACUAGAGCCCCGAGUAAGGGUCCUUGCUCCGUUUUCAUUAAGAUCAUAAGGCUUACAAGCAUGAUUGAUGUGCGUAAAGACACCAUGAAACCAUGAACAUUAAUUCAUGAGCAUGGGGAAAGGGAGUUUUGAAGAUAUGCGGUGUUAGGGGUUUAGGUCUAUACAAAACAAAAUUGCUCUGCUGGGUGGAAGUUUGUUUACAGCAGACAUGAGGCCCCAACUCUGUUUACCUAAACUGGCCUAGGGGACAAGAAAGAGCAAGCACCUUAGGGACAACAAGUCACCUUUCUUUUGCUAAUUAGCUUCCUCUGGGCAACUUUGCCCUGCUUCAGUCUAAAGUCCUGUUACCCUGUUUUUGUCCUUCCUUUCUGUGAAAGCAGUUUUCUUGUAUUGUAGUAAAUUGGGGGGCCUUUCUUCCCUGAAUACCUAAUCUUGCUUACCUAAUCUUGGAUAUUUUCAUCUUGAGAUUUCCUCCUCUUAUACCUUUGUCCUAUACUGGGGACUUUGCCAGGUUUGCCUAAUCUUAUUUACCCAAAUUUGGGUGUGUACAUCCUAUGCCUUUCUAAUUCUUUAUGCCUUGUUAACCCAUGGUGCAGCCCCAAGGAAUUCCUAAGCUUAUUCCCCACACUUCCCUAUACCACAAAUAAUUUUCUUGAUAAAGCGUGAUAGUACAAGAUCAUGGCACAGUGGCUUGAAUCCCUUGCACCAUAUUUAUUUGUUAUAAUAUAUUCAUGGGAACAAAUAUUGAGAAAUAGGUAUGUGUGAAGUAUUGUUCUAAUUACUUCACAGUACAUAUUCACUUAUUACUCAUAACCUAGUGAAGCACUAUCAUCAGCCACUUUUCAUAGAUGAAAGAAGUUAAACAAUGUUCCCAAGUUUACAGAAAUAGUUCCAACCCAGGCAAUUAGACUCAAACCCAUGCUUUUACACAUUAUACUAUAAUGUAUUUGUAUAGCCUCACAGGAUCACACACAGUAUUGUACAAAUAAUGUGAACUCAGUAAAUAUGUAUUGACUAAUAAUUUGAGGUCAGACUAUUUAAUAAAAAUUAUUUUCUUAAAUGUUUUAAAAUAUAU
ensembl:lncRNA